rnacentral:rRNA from 1 species
UACGUAGGUGGCAAGCGUUGUUCGGAUUUACUAGGCGUAAAGGGAGCGUAGGCGGCCGGGUGUGUCGAAUGUGAAAGCCCACAACUCAACUGUGGAAUGGCAUUAGAAACUACCUGGCUAGAGUACUGGAGAGGAGAGCGGAAUUCUUGGUGUAGCGGUGAAAUGCGUAGAUAUUAGGAGGAACACCAGUAGCGAAGGCGGCUCUCUGGACUGUAACUGACGCUGAGGCACGAAAGCGUGGGGAGCAAACAGGAUUAGAUACCCGGGUA